rnacentral:lncRNA from 1 species
CUUGUCUGUGUCCACGUCAUGCAUAAUUGCAUUAACGACAUCUUCACUGUCUGUCUCAACCUCACUAGAUAAGGCUUUACGCAACUCCUCGAUUUCAAUAUAACCACUUUGGUCCUCAUCAAAAUAUUGGAAAGCUCUGUGAAGGUGUUCGUCAUUUCCUAUCUUUCUCAGAUGAACGGAAAUGGCUACAAACUCUCCGUAAUCUAGGUACCCAUCAUUAUCUACAUCCCCCUGUAUAAGCAAACCCCAAAUAUUAGAAGUUGAAGGCAUAUAUGUUAAUUAGUAAAUAGCAUAUGACAACUUUUACUAUGAAGCAUUCUUGUAAAACUGAGGAAAUGCCAUUUUUUUUCAUUUGAAGAAGGGAGAAACACCGGGACAAACGAGAAUUCCUGGAGUUAUACCAAUUAUUAAACAUGCCCAAGUUUGCUUUUACUUUGACAUAUUCAAAGACAAUAUGCUGGAAAAACUAAAGACUCUCAAAAUUUGAUAAAGGUAUUUCAACCUAUCAUUUGUGGAGCAAAGAUUCAAGAUAAAGGGUAAUAAUAAUACUCACAGCUUCCAUAAGAAUUUUGAUAUCUUCAUCUGAAACUUGAUGGCCGAGUUUAUGCAACCCUACUCGAAGUUCAUCCAUGUUAAUCUUGCCUCUGUUGCCUGUAUCCAUAACCUGGAAUCCUUCUUUUAUUCCAGCAGCUUCUUCAACUGACAAAUGUUCGGCAAUCACCUGUUCACAUUAAACAAUAACCAUUAAAAAAUAAUUACCCAUGAAUUAGAAUGGUUGUAUUGAUGAAUAUUUCACAAGCGAAUCUUCAAGGGAUAUUCAAAUGUUGUUAAGAACAUUACCCUUAAAGCUCUUUUCUUAAGCUUGUUCAUUACAGAAAAUUGCUUCAGCCUUGCUUUAACAGUUUCUCCUAAUGAAACAUUAGGAGCUUUCUUUGCAUUUUGUAUCCAUGGAUGCUCUGCAUAUCAUUAACAAGUUAUGUUAUCAUCCCCACAUUUCAAUAGUCCAAAAUUUGAAGAAUAAACAAAAGAUAGUUUUCUGAGCAGAAAAUGUUCCAGACAGUUUAAACUUUGUUCAUCAGUCGAAAGCAUUCUAUAUGAAGUAGAUUUUACCUAACACUUCAUGUGCAGUAAGCCGCCGCUUUGGAUCAGGAUCGAAUUUAAGGCUGAGACUGUUAAACCUUUCACGUGAAUAUUGCCUUGAUGCUUUUCUCCAAUCUGUGCCAGCCUUCAUCAUUGUAGCAAAUUCGUCAUAACUUAUUUUACCAUCCUGCAAUUUCGUAGAGAUAAGGUUAACUGUGAUUCCGAAUAAAACUGUAGAUAAUGAAUGAUUAAUGUCAACUUCUUUAUUUACUAAAACCAGUUGGAGCAAUUCGACUUAACUCGGCGAGGGUUGUCAAAGUCAUUACAUAUUAUUAUUUGCUCAUAUACUUGACCGGACAUGCCCUUCACACUCGGACAUUAGGAGUGUGAAGUUUGUCGAGUUGAACAUGGUGUUCCAACAUCAUGAAAUGAUUUGAUGUAAGAUUCUUUACACAUAUGCUUAACUUCUGUGAGACUUUAAACACUUAACAAAACCCAAACUUAAAUCACUAUGUAGCACUAUAUAGGUGCAAAAAUACUAUAUGAGAAGACUCACAACGGUUAAAGAAUGCAAAAAUGGUAACAAGUAUAAAAUAUUUCUUCCAUAAAAAAGAACAUUGAGGAACAUGUAGAAAAUUAAGAAUCAACGCAAAAAACAAAAAAGAAAAUUGAUCUAGAAGGUGAAAAUAUACGGACCUUGUCUGUGUCCACGUCAUGCAUAAUUGCAUUAACGACAUCUUCACUGUCUGUCUCAACCUCACUAGAUAAGGCUUUACGCAACUCCUCGAUUUCAAUAUAACCACUUUGGUCCUCAUCAAAAUAUUGGAAAGCUCUGUGAAGGUGUUCGUCAUUUCCUAUCUUUCUCAGAUGAACGGAAAUGGCUACAAACUCUCCGUAAUCUAGGUACCCAUCAUUAUCUACAUCCCCCUGUAUAAGCAAACCCCAAAUAUUAGAAGUUGAAGGCAUAUAUGUUAAUUAGUAAAUAGCAUAUGACAACUUUUACUAUGAAGCAUUCUUGUAAAACUGAGGAAAUGCCAUUUUUUUUCAUUUGAAGAAGGGAGAAACACCGGGACAAACGAGAAUUCCUGGAGUUAUACCAAUUAUUAAACAUGCCCAAGUUUGCUUUUACUUUGACAUAUUCAAAGACAAUAUGCUGGAAAAACU